rnacentral:rRNA from 1 species
CCUACGGGAGGCAGCAGUGAGGAAUAUUGGUCAAUGGGCGGAAGCCUGAACCAGCCAAGUAGCGUGCGGGAUGAAGGCCCUACGGGUCGUAAACCGCUUUUGCACGGGGAUAACACCCUCCACUUGUUGAGGUCUGCAGGUACCGUGCGAAUAAGGGCCGGCUAAUUCCGGGCCAGCAGCCGCGGUCAUACGGAGGGCCCGAGCGUUAUCCGGAUUCAUUGGGCUUACCGGGAGCGUAGGCGGGCGUUAAAGUCAGCGGUAAAAUCGCGCGGCUCAACCGCGCCCCGCAGUUGAAACUGGACGCCUUGAGUUCACAACAGGCAGGCGGAAUUCGGGGUGUAGCGGUGAAAUGCAUAGAUAUCACGAGGAACCCCGAUUGCGAAGGCAGCCUGCCGGGGUGCGACUGACGCUGAGGCUCGAAGGUGCGGGUAGCAAACAGGAUUAGAUACCCCAGUAGUC